rnacentral:rRNA from 1 species
CAGCAGCCGCGGGAAUACGAAGGGGGCUAGCGUUGUUCGGAAUUACUGGGCGUAAAGCGCACGUAGGCGGCUUGGUAAGUUAGAGGUGAAAGCCCGGAGCUCAACUCCGGAAUUGCCUUUAAGACUGCCGAGCUAGUAGGUGAGAGAGGUAAGUGGAAUUCCGAGUGUAGAGGUGAAAUUCGUAGAUAUUCGGAAGAACACCAGUGGCGAAGGCGGCUUACUGGCUCAUUCUAGACGCUGAGGUGCGAAAGCGUGGGGAGCAAACAGGAUUAGAUACCCCCGUAGUCCCUGUCUCUUAUAA